rnacentral:snRNA from 1 species
AUAUUCUGGUUUUUCUUUAGAUCUUAUAAAUGUUUCACUGUUUACUAAAGAUUUCCAUGGAGAGGAGCAAUUCUGAGUGUUAAACUAAUUUUUUUAAAAAAAUUUUU